rnacentral:rRNA from 1 species
UACGGGGGGGGCAAGCGUUGUUCGGAAUUACUGGGCGUAAAGGGCGUGUAGGUGGCCAACUAAGUCCGACGUGAAAUCCCCAGGCUUAACCUGGGAACUGCGUCGGAUACUGGAUGGCUUGAAUUCGGGAGAGGAAUGCAGAAUUCCAGGUGUAGCGGUGAAAUGCGUAGAUAUCUGGAGGAAUACCGGUGGCGAAGGCGGCAUUCUGGACCGACACUGACGCUGAGGCGCGAAAGCUAGGGUAGCAAACGGG